AGAGUUUGAUCCUGGCUCAGAUUGAACGCUGGCGGCAUGCCUUACACAUGCAAGUCGAACGGCAGCACGGGAGCUUGCUCCUGGUGGCGAGUGGCGAACGGGUGAGUAAUACAUCGGAACGUACCCUGAAGUGGGGGAUAACGUAGCGAAAGUUACGCUAAUACCGCAUAUUCUGUGAGCAGGAAAGAGGGGGAUCGCAAGACCUCUUGCUUUAGGAGCGGCCGAUGUCGGAUUAGCUAGUUGGUGAGGUAAAGGCUCACCAAGGCGACGAUCCGUAGCGGGUCUGAGAGGACGACCAGCCACACUGGAACUGAGACACGGUCCAGACUCCUACGGGAGGCAGCAGUGGGGAAUUUUGGACAAUGGGCGCAAGCCUGAUCCAGCCAUUCCGCGUGAGUGAAGAAGGCCUUCGGGUUGUAAAGCUCUUUCGCAAGGAAAGAAAACUUAUCUCCUAAUACGAGGUGAGGUUGACGGUACCUUGAUAAGAAGCACCGGCUAACUACGUG
rnacentral:rRNA from 1 species